rnacentral:rRNA from 1 species
UACGUAGGGGGCUAGCGUUGUCCGGAAUCAUUUGGCGUAAAGAGCGCGUAGGGGGCCAGACCAGUCCGGUGUGAAAGUCACAGGCUCAACCUGUGAAUGCCGCUGGAAACUGUCUGGCUAGAGUCCGGAAGGGGCGAGUGGAAUUCCUGGUGUAGCGGUGAAAUGCGCAGAUAUCAGGAGGAACACCUAUGGCGAAGGCAGCUCGCUGGGACGGUACUGACGCUGAGGCGCGAAAGCGUGGGGAGCAAACAGG